ACCCUCUCAGAGCUGGCUUUUCUGCUACAAGAAUCAUGUUGCACUAUUAAAUACUGGAAAUCACAACCUUCUUGGACAGCCAGAACACAUAUUUGCCCAAGAAUGGCAUGCACACAGAUCCAGUGUGGCUAGGAAGAGCAAUUUGUGCUAACAAUUUGCUAACAACAUGUCAUUAUUAACUUCAGGAAAAUAUACAAGCAUGAGGUAAUAAUGUAGGACAAGGAACUUUAAGCCUGCCAAAUGUCAAUGUCGGAAGUACAAUUAAAACCUCUUCAUCUCAAGUAAGCCAUCAAGUGGUCCAUCUUGGAAUUCCCUAUUAUGAAAUAGUGAAGAUUUUUAACCUCAUAGAGGUCUAAACCAAAUGUGACAGAAAACACCUGCAGGUCUUACAGACACAACUACAGUAGUGCACUGGAAAGAGAAGCAACCAAUGGAAACAAAACCAAAAGCUCUGGCUUUGCCACGUAUGGUCAACUGCCCCCUCUCAGACCCUAUCAGUGACCAGCUUCCUGGCUGCCUUCUGGACUAGGAGACCCUAGCAGUUUGGCUCUCCUGCUGUUGUGAGGUCAGCAUCCUCCCACGACCGUCCUCUGACCAUCCCACUGGAGAUGAAGCGCUCAAGACAUCUCUGAGUUUGGCGGCUCUGUGACUCAUCUCUGACUUCUGUGGUGUGGAUCUCUCAGCAACACCAGAAGAAUGCUCCUGCAGAAGAAUCCAGUAAGGGAUCACUGCCAAAUGUCUAUCUCACCUUUGCUCUGCAUGAGCUCCAGCCUCUGUGAUGGAUCUUGCUUGCCAGCUCUGCAGCCACUUCUGCUCUAAUGAUACUUGAAAGGUCCCUGGGAAAAGCUCCUUAAGAAGAGGAUAAGCGCAUACUUGGGAACAUAAAGACCUAUAUUUGAGCCAAGGUAGUCAGGGAAAGUCUUGUAAUCUCAGAACAUUUGCUGCACUACAGAACGUCCUGUGGCAUUUAAAUGUUGUGGAGUUUGUGGGAAAGCAACAGAAGAAUGGCAAGAAGGUUUGUAGACAUGUUCAUGUCACUUGCAGCUGGAGGCGAAGUGCAAUCACAAUUUGGUGGCAUUUUGCAGAGAAGGGAAAGAGGUAACCUCAAGGAUCCAGAUAACAGUUUCACCAUGACAACUACUGUACCACAGAGCAGGUCGAUUAAGGUUUUGGUUUUAUAUAAAGACAACAGCAAUAAUGAGAAGUGCUUCAGUUUCUGUUGUUUUGGGAGAUUUUUUAAAUAGCUAUUUCACUGGGAGGACUAAUGAUGCUGUGGACAUCUGCUGCAAACAAAAAGAGUCUUCAUCAAAAUGGGGAAUAUUCCUGAUGUCUGGAAAGAUGGAUUCUGUGAUGCAGAUGUAGUUACUACCACCAGUCUGUGUGCAGCAAGAUGAGAUUUUGACACUUAACAGAGACAUGUGCCAGAAUAUAAAAUGAGGCCAUGGAAAGAUUAGAAACAGAAUAUUAAGAUAUGUUCCUAAACAGACACAAAAUAUUUACAGAGAUACCAAUAUAAACUAUGCCAGCACAUCAAUUUCCCUUUAAUAAGGCCAGCUUAUAGGAGAAAAAGGUGAGGGUUGCUGUGGAGAGGACAGAUCCUGACCUGAAGCUGUUCAGUCUCCCCAGGACUACAGGAAACACAGUGACUCUGCAGGUGUCAGUUUGUGCCUUACUUAUCAAGACCUAAUAAAAUUUCAUUAAACCUUCUCGA